rnacentral:rRNA from 1 species
GCUACUAUAAUGAGAGCGGCGUACGGGUGCGUAACACGUGUGCAACCUGCCUUUAUCUGGGGGAUAGCCUUUCGAAAGGAAGAUUAAUACCCCAUAAUAUAUUGAUUGGCAUCAAUUAAUAUUGAAAGCUCCGGCGGAUAGAGAUGGGCACGCGUAAGAUUAGCUAGUUGGUGAGGUAACGGCUCACCAAGGCUGCGAUCUUUAGGGGGCCUGAGAGGGUGAUCCCCCACACUGGUACUGAGACACGGACCAGACUCCUACGGGAGGCAGCAGUGAGGAAUAUUGGACAAUGGGUGAAAGCCUGAUCCAGCCAUCCCGCGUGAAGGACUAAGGACCUAUGGUUUGUAAACUUCUUUUAUACAGGGAUAAACCUACUCUCGUGAGGGUAGCUGAAGGUACUGUAUGAAUAAGCACCGGCUAACUCCGUGCCAGCAGCCGCGGUAAUACGGAGGGUGCAAGCGUUAUCCGGAUUUAUUGGGUUUAAAGGGUCCGUAGGCGGGUCGAUAAGUCAGUGGUGAAAGCCUGCAGCUUAACUGUAGAACUGCCGUUGAUACUGUCGGUCUUGAGUGUAUUUGAGGUAGCUGGAAUGAGUAGUGUAGCGGUGAAAUGCAUAGAUAUUACUCAGAACACCAAUUGCG